AAAACUAGCCAGUCUUUUGGGUAUGAAACCCAUUGGGCGAGAGUAGUACUAGGAUGGGUGACCUCCUGGGAAGUCCACGUGAAAGGGUUUC
rnacentral:rRNA from 1 species